AAUCCAUAGGUUAAUGAGGCGAACCGGGGGAACUGAAACAUCUAAGUACCCCGAGGAAAAGAAAUCAACCGAGAUUCCCCCAGUAGCGGCGAGCGAACGGGGAGGAGCCCAGAGCCUGAAUCAGCAUGUGUGUUAGUGGAAGCGUCUGGAAAGGCGCGCGAUACAGGGUGACAGCCCCGUACACAAAAGCGCAUGUGCUGUGAGCUCGAUGAGUAGGGCGGGACACGUGGUAUCCUGUCUGAAUAUGGGGGGACCAUCCUCCAAGGCUAAAUACUCCUGACUGACCGAUAGUGAACCAGUACCGUGAGGGAAAGGCGAAAAGAACCCCGGCGAGGGGAGUGAAAAAGAACCUGAAACCGUGUACGUACAAGCAGUGGGAGCCCCACCACCAAAGCAUUCUCUGGUGUUGAAGGCCCUGCAAAGCAGCAUCGCGGUGGCGGAGCGUCGUUUGCGACGCCCAACACACAAAACAAGCGGUGAGUGCUUUGGGGUGGGGUGACUGCGUACCUUUUGUAUAAUGGGUCAGCGACUUAUAUUCUGUAGCAAGGUUAACCGAAUAGGGGAGCCGGAGGGAAACCGAGUCUUAAUUGGGCGUUAAGUUGCAGGGUAUAGACCCGAAACCCGGUGAUCUAGCCAUGGGCAGGUUGAAGGUUGGGUAACACUAACUGGAGGACCGAACCGACUAAUGUUGAAAAAUUAGCGGAUGACCUGUGGCUGGGGGUGAAAGGCCAAUCAAACCGGGAGAUAGCUGGUUCUCCCCGAAAGCUAUUUAGGUAGCGCCUCGUGAAUUCAUCUCCGGGGGUAGAGCACUGUUUCGGCUAGGGGGCCAUCCCGGCUUACCAACCCGAUGCAAACUGCGAAUACCGGAGAAUGUUAUCACGGGAGACACACGGCGGGUGCUAACGUCCGUCGUGAAGAGGGAAACAACCCAGACCGCCAGCUAAGGUCCCAAAGUCAUGGUUAAGUGGGAAACGAUGUGGGAAGGCCCAGACAGCCAGGAUGUUGGCUUAGAAGCAGCCAUCAUUUAAAGAAAGCGUAAUAGCUCACUGGUCGAGUCGGCCUGCGCGGAAGAUGUAACGGGGCUAAACCAUGCACCGAAGCUGCGGCAGCGACACUCAGGUGUUGUUGGGUAGGGGAGCGUUCUGUAAGCCUGUGAAGGUGGCCUGUGAGGGUUGCUGGAGGUAUCAGAAGUGCGAAUGCUGACAUAAGUAACGAUAAAGCGGGUGAAAAGCCCGCUCGCCGGAAGACCAAGGGUUCCUGUCCAACGUUAAUCGGGGCAGGGUGAGUCGACCCCUAAGGCGAGGCCGAAAGGCGUAGUCGAUGGGAAACGGGUUAAUAUUCCCGUACUUGGUGUUACUGCGAAGGGGGGACGGAGAAGGCUAUGUUGGCCGGGCGACGGUUGUCCCGGUUUAAGCGUGUAGGUGUGUGUUCCAGGUAAAUCCGGUUCACUUUAACACUGAGGCGUGACGACGAGGCACUACGGUGCUGAAGCAACAAAUGCCCUGCUUCCAGGAAAAGCCUCUAAGCAUCAGGUAACAUCAAAUCGUACCCCAAACCGACACAGGUGGUCAGGUAGAGAAUACCAAGGCGCUUGAGAGAACUCGGGUGAAGGAACUAGGCAAAAUGGUGCCGUAACUUCGGGAGAAGGCACGCUGACACGUAGGUGAAGUGAUUUACUCACGGAGCUGAAGUCAGUCGAAGAUACCAGCUGGCUGCAACUGUUUAUUAAAAACACAGCACUGUGCAAACACGAAAGUGGACGUAUACGGUGUGACGCCUGCCCGGUGCCGGAAGGUUAAUUGAUGGGGUCAGCGCAAGCGAAGCUCCUGAUCGAAGCCCCGGUAAACGGCGGCCGUAACUAUAACGGUCCUAAGGUAGCGAAAUUCCUUGUCGGGUAAGUUCCGACCUGCACGAAUGGCGUAAUGAUGGCCAGGCUGUCUCCACCCGAGACUCAGUGAAAUUGAACUCGCUGUGAAGAUGCAGUGUACCCGCGGCAAGACGGAAAGACCCCGUGAACCUUUACUAUAGCUUGACACUGAACAUUGAGCCUUGAUGUGUAGGAUAGGUGGGAGGCUUUGAAGUGUGGACGCCAGUCUGCAUGGAGCCGACCUUGAAAUACCACCCUUUAAUGUUUGAUGUUCUAACGUGGACCCGUAAUCCGGGUUGCGGACAGUGUCUGGUGGGUAGUUUGACUGGGGCGGUCUCCUCCUAAAGAGUAACGGAGGAGCACGAAGGUUGGCUAAUCCUGGUCGGACAUCAGGAGGUUAGUGCAAUGGCAUAAGCCAGCUUGACUGCGAGCGUGACGGCGCGAGCAGGUGCGAAAGCAGGUCAUAGUGAUCCGGUGGUUCUGAAUGGAAGGGCCAUCGCUCAACGGAUAAAAGGUACUCCGGGGAUAACAGGCUGAUACCGCCCAAGAGUUCAUAUCGACGGCGGUGUUUGGCACCUCGAUGUCGGCUCAUCACAUCCUGGGGCUGAAGUAGGUCCCAAGGGUAUGGCUGUUCGCCAUUUAAAGUGGUACGCGAGCUGGGUUUAGAACGUCGUGAGACAGUUCGGUCCCUAUCUGCCGUGGGCGCUGGAGAACUGAGGGGGGCUGCUCCUAGUACGAGAGGACCGGAGUGGACGCAUCACUGGUGUUCGGGUUGUCAUGCCAAUGGCACUGCCCGGUAGCUAAAUGCGGAAGAGAUAAGUGCUGAAAGCAUCUAAGCACGAAACUUGCCCCGAGAUGAGUUCUCCCUGAGACUUUAAGUCUCCUGAAGGAACGUUGAAGACGACGACGUUGAUAGGCCGGGUGUGUAAGCGCAGCGAUGCGUUGAGCUAACCGGUACUAAUGAACCGUGAGGCUUAACCUUACAACGCCGAAG
rnacentral:rRNA from 1 species